rnacentral:rRNA from 1 species
GAUGAACGCUGGCGGCGUGCCUAAUACAUGCAAGUCGAGCGAACGGACGAGAAGCUUGCUUCUCUGAUGUUAGCGGCGGACGGGUGAGUAACACGUGGAUAACCUACCUAUAAGACUGGGAUAACUUCGGGAAACCGGAGCUAAUACCGGAUAAUAUUUUGAACCGCAUGGUUCAAAAGUGAAAGACGGUCUUGCUGUCACUUAUAGAUGGAUCCGCGCUGCAUUAGCUAGUUGGUAAGGUAACGGCUUACCAAGGCAACGAUGCAUAGCCGACCUGAGAGGGUGAUCGGCCACACUGGAACUGAGACACGGUCCAGACUCCUACGGGAGGCAGCAGUAGGGAAUCUUCCGCAAUGGGCGAAAGCCUGACGGAGCAACGCCGCGUGAGUGAUGAAGGUCUUCGGAUCGUAAAACUCUGUUAUUAGGGAAGAACAUAUGUGUAAGUAACUGUGCACAUCUUGACGGUACCUAAUCAGAAAGCCACGGCUAACUACGUGCCAGCAGCCGCGGUAAUACGUAGGUGGCAAGCGUUAUCCGGAAUUAUUGGGCGUAAAGCGCGCGUAGGCGGUUUUUUAAGUCUGAUGUGAAAGCCCACGGCUCAACCGUGGAGGGUCAUUGGAAACUGGAAAACUUGAGUGCAGAAGAGGAAAGUGGAAUUCCAUGUGUAGCGGUGAAAUGCGCAGAGAUAUGGAGGAACACCAGUGGCGAAGGCGACUUUCUGGUCUGUAACUGACGCUGAUGUGCGAAAGCGUGGGGAUCAAACAGGAUUAGAUACCCUGGUAGUCCACGCCGUAAACGAUGAGUGCUAAGUGUUAGGGGGUUUCCGCCCCUUAGUGCUGCAGCUAACGCAUUAAGCACUCCGCCUGGGGAGUACGACCGCAAGGUUGAAACUCAAAGGAAUUGACGGGGACCCGCACAAGCGGUGGAGCAUGUGGUUUAAUUCGAAGCAACGCGAAGAACCUUACCAAAUCUUGACAUCCUUUGACAACUCUAGAGAUAGAGCCUUCCCCUUCGGGGGACAAAGUGACAGGCGGUGCAUGGUUGUCGUCAGCUCGUGUCGUGAGAUGUUGGGUUAAGUCCCGCAACGAGCGCAACCCUUAAGCUUAGUUGCCAUCAUUAAGUUGGGCACUCUAAGUUGACUGCCGGUGACAAACCGGAGGAAGGUGGGGAUGACGUCAAAUCAUCAUGCCCCUUAUGAUUUGGGCUACACACGUGCUACAAUGGACAAUACAAAGGGCAGCGAAACCGCGAGGUCAAACAAAUCCCAUAAAGUUGUUCUCAGUUCGGAUUGUAGUCUGCAACUCGACUACAUGAAGCUGGAAUCGCUAGUAAUCGUAGAUCAGCAUGCUACGGUGAAUACGUUCCCGGGUCU